UACGGGGGGGGCAAGCGUUGUUCGGAAUUACUGGGCGUAAAGGGCUCGUAGGCGGCCAACUAAGUCAUACGUGAAAUCCCUCGGCUUAACCGGGGAACUGCGUCUGAUACUGGAUGGCUUGAGUUCGGGAGAGGGAUGCGGAAUUCCAGGUGUAGCGGUGAAAUGCGUAGAUAUCUGGAGGAACACCGGUGGCGAAGGCGGCAUCCUGGACCGAUACUGACGCUGAGGAGCGAAAGCCAGGGGAGCAAACGGA
rnacentral:rRNA from 1 species